rnacentral:rRNA from 1 species
GUACGGGUUGUGAGAGCAAGAGCCCGGAGAUGGAUUCUGAGACACGAAUCCAGGCCCUACGGGGUGCAGCAGGCGCGAAAACUUUACAAUGCUGGCAACAGCGAUAAGGGAACCUCGAGUGCCAGGUUACAAAUCUGGCUGUCGAGAUGCCUAAAAAGCAUUUCAUAGCAAGGGCCGGGCAAGACCGGUGCCAGCCGCCGCGGUAACACCGGCGGCUCGAGUGGUAACCGUUAUUAUUGGGUCUAAAGGGUCUGUAGCCGGCCGGAUAAGUCUCUUGAGAAAUCUGGCAGCUUAACUGUCAGGCUUUCAGGAGAUACUGUCUGGCUCGAGGCCGGGAGAGGUGAGAGGUACUUCAGGGGUAGGGGUGAAAUCUUGUAAUCCUUGAAGGACCACCAGUGGCGAAGGCGUCUCACCAGAACGGACCUGACGGCAAGGGACGAAAGCUAGGGGCACGAACCGGAUUAGAUACCCGGGUAGUCCUAGCCGUAAACGAUACUCGCUAGGUGUCGGCCACGGUGCGACCGUUGUCGGUGCCGUAGGGAAGCCGUGAAGCGAGC